rnacentral:rRNA from 1 species
UACGUAGGGUGCAAGCGUUAAUCGGAAUACUGGGCGUAAAGCGUGCGCAGGCGGUGAUGUAAGACAGAUGUGAAAUCCCCGGGCUCAACCUGGGAACUGCAUUUGUGACUGCAUCGCUGGAGUACGGCAGAGGGGGAUGGAAUUCCGCGUGUAGCAGUGAAAUGCAUAGAUAUGCGGAGGAACACCGAUGGCGAAGGCAAUCCCCUGGGCCUGUACUGACGCUCAUGCACGAAAGCGUGGGGAGCGAAACAAGGAUUGAGAAACCCGGGUAA